CAUGCAAGUCGAACGAUGAAAGCAGGAGCUUGCUUUUGCUGGAUUAGUGGCGAACGGGUGAGUAACACGUGAGUAACCUGCCCUUGACUCUGGGAUAAGCGUUGGAAACGACGUCUAAUACCGGAUACGAGCUAGGACCGCAUGGUCACUAGUUGGAAAGAAUUUCGGUCAAGGAUGGACUCGCGGCCUAUCAGCUAGUUGGUGAGGUAACGGCCCACCAAGGCGACGACGGGUAGCCGGCCUGAGAGGGUGACCGGCCACACUGGGACUGAGACACGGCCCAGACUCCUACGGGAGGCAGCAGUGGGGAAUAUUGCACAAUGGGCGCAAGCCUGAUGCAGCAACGCCGCGUGAGGGACGACGGCCUUCGGGUUGUAAACCUCUUUUAGCAGGGAAGAAGCGAAAGUGACGGUACCUGCAGAAAAAGCACCGGCUAACUACGUGCCAGCAGCCGCGGUAAUACGUAGGGUGCAAGCGUUGUCCGGAAUUAUUGGGCGUAAAGAGCUCGUAGGCGGUUUGUCGCGUCUGCUGUGAAAAUCCGAGGCUCAACCUCGGACCUGCAGUGGGUACGGGCAAACUAGAGUGCGGUAGGGGAGAUUGGAAUUCCUGGUGUAGCGGUGGAAUGCGCAGAUAUCAGGAGGAACACCAAUGGCGAAGGCAGAUCUCUGGGCCGUAACUGACGCUGAGGAGCGAAAGCGUGGGGAGCGAACAGGAUUAGAUACCCUGGUAGUCCACGCCGUAAACGGUGGGAACUAGAUGUGGGGUCCGUUCCACGGAUUCCGUGUCGCAGCUAACGCAUUAAGUUCCCCACUGGGAGUACGGCCGCAGCUAAACUCAAGAUGACGGGGCCGCACAGCGCCGAGCAUGCGAUAUCGAUGCACGCGAGAUCCUACAAGGCUGACAUAUAGAGAAGUUAGAAUACUUCCCGCAGGUCUCUAUCAGUGUGCAUGCUGUCGUCAGCUCUUUCA
rnacentral:rRNA from 1 species